rnacentral:rRNA from 1 species
GUGAGGAAUAUUGGUCAAUGGACGGAAGUCUGAACCAGCCAAGUAGCGUGCAGGAUGACGGCCCUAUGGGUUGUAAACUGCUUUUAUGCGGGGGUAAAGUGAGUGACGUGUCAUUCAUUGCAAGUACCGCAAGAAUAAGGACCGGCUAAUUCCGUGCCAGCAGCCGCGGUAAUACGGAAGGUCCUGGUGUUAUCCGGAUUUAUUGGGUUUAAAGGGAGCGUAGGCCGUCAGGCAAGCGUGUUGUGAAAUGUCGUGGCUCAACCAUGGACUUGCAGCGCGAACUGCCCGACUUGAGUGCGCAGAAAGCAGGCGGAAUUUGUGGUGUAGCGGUGAAAUGCUUAGAUAUCACGAAGAACCCCGAUUGCGAAGGCAGCCUGCUGUAGCGCUACUGACGCUGAAGCUCGAAAGUGCGGGUAUCGAACAGGAUUAGAUACCCUGGUAGUCC